AUUGAACGCUGGCGGCAGGCUUAACACAUGCAAGUCGAGUGGGGAAGAGUAGCUUGCUACUUAACCUAGCGGCGGACGGGUGAGUAAUGCUUAGGAAUCUGUAUAUUAGUGGGGGACAACAUCUCGAAAGGGAUGGUAAUACCGCCUACGUCCUACGGGUGAAUGCAGGGGACCUUGUGGCCUUGCGCUAAUAGAUGAGCCUAAGUCGGAUUAGCUAGGUGGUGGGGUAAAGGCCUACCAAGGCGACAACCUUUAGCGGCAGUCUGAGAGGAUGAUCCGCCGCACUGGGACUGAGACACGGCCCAGACUCCUACGGGAGGCGGCAGUGGGGAAUAUUGGGCAAUGGGGGGAACCCUGAUCCAGCCAUGCCGCGUGUGUGAAGAAGGCCUUUUGGUUGUAAAGCACUUUAAGCGAGGAGGAGGCUACCGAGAUUAAUACUCUUGGAUAGUGGACGUUACUCGCAGAAUAAGCACCGGCUAACUCUGUGCCAGCCGCCGCAGUAACAC
rnacentral:rRNA from 1 species